CACCCGAGACUCAGUGAAAUUGAACUCGCUGUGAAGAUGCAGUGUACCCGCGGCAAGACGGAAAGACCCCGUGAACCUUUACUAUAGCUUGACACUGAACAUUGAGCCUUGAUGUGUAGGAUAGGUGGGAGGCUUUGAAGUGUGGACGCCAGUCUGCAUGGAGCCGACCUUGAAAUACCACCCUUUAAUGUUUGAUGUUCUAACGUGGACCCGUAAUCCGGGUUGCGGACAGUGUCUGGUGGGUAGUUUGACUGGGGCGGUCUCCUCCUAAAGAGUAACGGAGGAGCACGAAGGUUGGCUAAUCCUGGUCGGACAUCAGGAGGUUAGUGCAAUGGCAUAAGCCAGCUUGACUGCGAGCGUGACGGCGCGAGCAGGUGCGAAAGCAGGUCAUAGUGAUCCGGUGGUUCUGAAUGGAAGGGCCAUCGCUCAACGGAUAAAAGGUACUCCGGGGAUAACAGGCUGAUACCGCCCAAGAGUUCAUAUCGACGGCGGUGUUUGGCACCUCGAUGUCGGCUCAUCACAUCCUGGGGCUGAAGUAGGUCCCAAGGGUAUGGCUGUUCGCCAUUUAAAGUGGUACGCGAGCUGGGUUUAGAACGUCGUGAGACAGUUCGGUCCCUAUCUGCCGUGGGCGCUGGAGAACUGAGGGGGGCUGCUCCUAGUACGAGAGGACCGGAGUGGACGCAUCACUGGUGUUCGGGUUGUCAUGCCAAUGGCACUGCCCGGUAGCUAAAUGCGGAAGAGAUAAGUGCUGAAAGCAUCUAAGCACGAAACUUGCCCCGA
rnacentral:rRNA from 1 species